AUUGAACGCUGGCGGCAUGCCUUACACAUGCAAGUCGAACGGCAGCAUGGGUGCUUGCACCUGAUGGCGAGUGGCGAACGGGUGAGUAAUACAUCGGAACGUACCCGGAAGUGGGGGAUAACGUAGCGAAAGUUACGCUAAUACCGCAUAUUCUGUGAGCAGGAAAGAGGGGGAUCGCAAGACCUCUCGCUUUCGGAGCGGCCGAUGUCGGAUUAGCUAGUUGGCGGGGUAAAGGCCCACCAAGGCAACGAUCCGUAGCGGGUCUGAGAGGGUGAUCCGCCACACUGGGACUGAGACACGGCCCAGACUCCUACGGGAGGCAGCAGUGGGGAAUUUUGGACAAUGGGGGCAACCCUGAUCCAGCCAUGCCGCGUGAGUGAAGAAGGCCUUCGGGUUGUAAAGCUCUUUCGGCCGGGAAGAAAUCGCACAGGCUAAUACCUUGUGUGGAUGACGGUACCGGAAUAAGAAGCACCGGCUAACUACGUGCCAGCAGCCGCCGUAAAAC
rnacentral:rRNA from 1 species